rnacentral:rRNA from 1 species
UACGUAGGGUGCGAGCGUUGUCCGGAAUUAUUGGGCGUAAAGGGCUCGUAGGCGGUCUGUCGCGUCGGUCGUGAAAACCUGCAGCUUAACUGUGGCGUGCGGUCGAUACGGGCAUGACUGGAGUUCGGCAGGGGAGACUGGAAUUCCUGGUGUAGCGGUGAAAUGCGCAGAUAUCAGGAGGAACACCGGUGGCGAAGGCGGGUCUCUUGGGCAGUAACUGACGCUGGAGGAGCGAAAGCCGUGGGAGCGAACAGG